GAUCCUGGCUCAGGAUGAACUCUAGCGGCAGGCUUAACACAUGCAAGUCGAGGGGCAGCGCGGAGUAGCAAUACUCUGGCGGCGACCGGCGGAAGGGUGCGUAACACGUGAGCGACUUGCCCGUCACAGGGAGAUAACCGCUGGAAACGGUGACUAAUAUCCCAUAUGAUGGCGAUCUGCAUGGAUUGUCAUUGAAAGAUUCAUCGGUGACGGAUAGGUUCGCGGGG
rnacentral:rRNA from 1 species